AGUUGGUGGAGUGAUUUGUCUGGUUAAUUCCGUUAACGAACGAGACCUCGACCUGCUAAAUAGUUUGGCGAAUUCUUCGGGAUACGCGCAACACUUCUUAGAGGGACUAUCGGUGUGUAGCCGGUGGAAGUUCGAGGCAAUAACAGGU
rnacentral:rRNA from 1 species